ensembl:snRNA LOC120100199 U6 spliceosomal RNA
GUGCUCACUUCUGCAGCAUACAUACUAGCACUGUAACAGAACGGAGAAGAUCGGCAUAGCCCUUGCACAAGGAUGGCGUGCGGGUUUGUGGGUGCUUCCCAGUAUUA